rnacentral:rRNA from 1 species
AGAACGAACGCUGGCGGCAGGCUUAACACAUGCAAGUCGAGCGCCCCGCAAGGGGAGCGGCAGACGGGUGAGUAACGCGUGGGAACAUACCCUCCGGUUCGGAAUAGCUCAGGGAAACUUGGAUUAAUACCGGAUACGGCCUAGCGGCGAAAGAUUCAUCGCCGGAGGAUUGGCCCGCGUCUGAUUAGCUAGUUGGUGGGGUAAUGGCCCACCAAGGCGACGAUCAGUAGCUGGUCUGAGAGGAUGAUCAGCCACAUUGGGACUGAGACACGGCCCAAACUCCUACGGGAGGCAGCAGUGGGGAAUAUUGGACAAUGGGCGCAAGCCUGAUCCAGCCGUGCCGCGUGAGUGAUGACGGCCUUAGGGUUGUAAAGCUCUUUCGCUAGGGACGAUAGUGACGGUACCUAGACAAGAAGCCCCGGCUAACUUCGUGCCAGCAGCCGC